CGCGGAUUGGCGCAGAGGUAGCGCGCGUGGCUCAUACCCACGAGGCCGCCGGUUCGAAUCCGGCAUCCGCAACCA
rnacentral:tRNA from 1 species